UUAAUAGAUUCUGUGCAAUUU
rnacentral:piRNA from 1 species